AUAAUGAAUAUAAUUUAGUACCUUAAAUCCCAAUUCCUUUACCAUACAACAAAUCAAAGCAUAUUUUCACACAAUUCAUUGUACUUAUAUUUUCACACUUUUUUUUUCUUUUUUUUUUUUAAUGUCCUCAGGGGAGGUUUGAGCAAAAGAAGAAAGGAGACUGGGAAUAGGGAGAAUGGUAGGAAGAAGAGCAAGCUUUCAGGAACUGGACAUGGAAUAAUAAAUGGGAAUGAGCUGGAAGAACUGUUUUUUUCUUUCUUUUUUUGAAUAUUAAGGUUUGAUGUAUUUUAAAAUUGCACAUGCAAGCUAGAAUAUGUACCAGAAAGAAUUGCAAUUGCUCCAAAGUUACUGGCAGUGUACUCCAGACAGUCCUUGCUUUCUGAAAAGCCAGUUUACAAAAUUCCCAUUUGGCAAUGAUAGUGAUUAUCCACCCUAUGAAAGCAUUAGCUCAGGAUCUCUUUGCAUAGCUGGCUCCCCUAGUGCACUUCAAAUAUAUUUUGACCUUUCAGAUAAAGGGAAUAAAACAAGGUAGGCCUCCUGUUAACUUGGUUUCUACAAUUCAGUUUGGAAAAUGAUUCAUGUUUUCUAAUAUUUUCUGGGUGAAGCUCCUUAUUGGUCAACAUCAGACCAAAUCACCUUGGAAAGGCUAUCACAGAAUUCCUCGGGUGUUCUUCCUGCUUCCUUAUAGCAGAAAACAAAAUGUAAUGAGUAUGAGUAAAACAUUAUUUGAUACUCAGAAGCUUACAAUCCAGAGGUGAAAUCACAGAUCCGGAAAGAAGCAGCCCUCUUCCCUUUCAAAUGGCCACCUAUAUGCAGGACAAGAUAGAGAGGCUCCCUUUUGGGUCAAAUAAAAGGAUUUUGAUCCAUUCAAAAGAGAAGAUUUAAUAAAAAUAAUCAUCUCAAUAAGCUUAAAAAACAUAGAUUAGACAGAGAAAACACACUGAUCUUAUAAAUAGAAACUAUUACGUUUAAAGGGAUUUAAUAUCCCCGUAUUUGAAUCUAGGGCAAAUUACUCACUUUAAUGUCAGUAAUUUUAAAACUAUUCAUCUGUUAUUAUAAUACCUCUGUAACUUAAAAGACAAAUUUGCCCUAUGCUUCUGGAUAAUCCUGUUCUUUACAAAGCCUUUAGCAGUGCCUGUGGAAUAAUUACAGAAUAAUUUUUGAGUUAAAGAUAUUUAAAGGUAAUUUUGGAAGUUAUUUUAUGAUCACCACAACCCCAAGUCGAUUGUUUGCAGGCAAAAUGUUUUCACAUUCACAAUGGUGAAUGAGAGAUUGUCAACCAAAUACUUAACCAUGAUUAAUGAGAUAUAUUGUUUAUUUUUCCAAUCUUGAGUACAACUGUGAAUAAUUAAUCAUUUUCCCUAGAUAUUAUCACUAGAUUAUAAUUUAAAUUUCCUCUUAAUCACACAAAGGAAAAGCAAUGGCUUAUUGUUAUUUAUAACCAUUUAGCCUAUUUUCUUGUAUCAAUUUCAAUUUACUUGAACUAGGGGACUGAAGGUACAUUACAGAUAACAUUAGAAAAAAAUGCCAUUUAAAAAAAUUAUCUGAGUGAAAAAAAAUCUAUCUAUAACAUAUGGGGGAAAGGCAAGCAUACACAUUCAAAGGAGUAAAUAUUACAACCAUAAUCUGGGAUAUUGACAGUAAAUGUCAAGUACAGUAGAGCCUGGAACAACAUGGAUUUGGACUUGACAGGUCCACCUAUGCACAGAUUUUCUUCUGCCUCUACCACGUCUAAGACAGUAGGACCACGACGUUCUCUUUCUCCCCCUUCGCAGCCUACUCAACGUGAAGAUUAUAAGGAUGAAGACUUUUAAGAUAAUCCACUUCCAUUUAAUCAAUGUCUUGAACUCCAGUGGGACUCAAUUAAUACUCUUCCUGCCUCACCCAAAUCAGCCUUUGCACCUUGAGGAUGAUUGUUGAUGGGGCUCAGAACCGAAGUACAGAGUAUCAGUGAGCAGAGUGUUCCUUGCCUGCAUUGCUGUAGUGGAAUCAUACCCACAAUUUUUGCUGUCUGGCCUGUGGGACAAGAUAGAGAAAGUAGAGCACAAGCUAGUGCUCAUUAGGAUGUCGUCCAGAAGUUGUUCACACUCUUGCACUCACAGUGACAAAACAGACCUUAGUCAGAAACCACAGCUGACAGCAUGAAAGCUAAGAAAAGUGGCUUCCAGCUGUUUGAGGGUGAUUAUGUAUUCCUUCUUUACUUUCUGGGAGAUAAAACUGAUUUUCAGUUCCCUUUCUCAGAAGGCCUUUCUUCGGAAUGAAAUGGCUAAGUGACUCCCCUAGCCACAUGAGAUGAGCUCCUUGGAAAUGACGCCUACUGUACUGGGGAUAGGAAGCCAGCUGGAAGGAUGUCCCGUAUCAUCCCAGGAACAACAUACAGGAAGGUACUUUACUUUGUGAUGUCAACACCCACCAUCUUUUAGCUUCCCCAAGGCAUUAUUUUCAUAUUUAAUAGAACGUUUUAUUUUAAGGUAAAUUCCAGUAUGCAUGUAGAAAGGGGCAUUGGAAUAAAUGAUUUACUAGCACAGCUACUCUACAGACAAAUCUUCAACUACUUCUGUUUUAAGCCACAUUUCUAUACUUAUACCCUUGAAAAGAGCUGACUCCAAAUCCGCAUUAUGUAUUAGGUUCCAUGGGAAGAUAACCUGUCAUGAAACAUCCUCAUGUAUGCUUUCAGUUCUCUUUCAUCUAUCAACACGCCUUCAUAGACUUUUUGCUUUCUAGUAAUCUCAUUUAUAUAAUUUACCCCUCUGAACCCCCUUUUAUUUUUCCUAUUGAUACAAGUGUUUUCACCUAUUUAUAUUUUAAAACUUUCCACUUAAAUUGUGAGUAGAUAUGCUCACCCUCCAAAUUAAAACAAAAUCCUAAAGACCUAUCUACAUCCAAUUUUCAUUAGUUAGCAUGGACUCAUUUCCUUGGAUAAACAAAGCAAAUUGACCUAACUAUGAUAAGGCUAAGGAUACUCUCAGCAUAUAUAAAUGGGCAAUGAAUCAUGUGUUUGAGGCAGCACUGCAAGCUGAAUUGAUUGUCAUAGCUCAUUCACGUAUUUAUUCACUCAACAAAUAUUUAUGCCAGACAUUACUAUAUGUCAGACAGUAUUCAAAGUAUUAAAGUUAGAGCAGUGAACAAAACAGACAGAAAUUAAAGUGUAAGCUAAUAUUUUCAUUUGAGUGACUUGGGAUAACAUACUUUAGAUACCAAAAUAUUUUGAAACAGAAUGUAGCAAAAUUGGAGAGGGAUUAUAUGACAUUCAUUCUUUAAUCUAUGCAAAGAGUGUAUUUGGCAGGGAGGAAUAAGUUAUUAGGGCAGGUUUUAUCUAUAUAUCUACAUUUUAUAGCUAAAUCUUCUUUUCUAAAGUGAUGUUGUUAUAUAAUACAUGUGAAUUAUAUAAGAACUUGCAUGAAAUACAGCAUUUAAUGAUGGACUUCCUCUUUGUCCCACUAGAUGAAAUAACUUUUAAACAUGUAUGCAGCAAAGACCUUUUAAAAAUGCAAGGUUUAGAUGAACUAUAACAAGCUUUUCUCCUUAAGGCAAGCUUUGAUAAUGUAAUCCAGCCUCUCUGAUUCUCCCUAUAAAAUGUAUUAGUAUUCAGACUAACUUACUGUUCUACAUUAGAGAGACAGUAAAUAUAACAAGUCAAUAAAGGAGAGCUUGCCUUUGAUGUUAGAUAGCCGUGGGCACAUAUCCUCAAUCUUCUAUUUGCUAGCUAUGUAAACUUAGGCAACUUCCAUACUAUUCUAAGCUUGUAUUCAUUUAUAACAUUAAAUUUUAAAACUAUUUAACUCAAUGUUUGCAGAGAGAAUUCAAUGAUAUGAUGAAAGACAAAGCUAGACAUAUUCUAAAUGCUCAAUACAUGUUAUUCAUCAGUAUUUUAAUUUUAUUAUUAACAUGUCUUCUACUAAAUUUUUCUACAGAAUAUACUUGUUUCAACAAACUCAUUUUUCUCUCUGCAAAUUGUAAUUAUUCUUAACAACUAAAAACUCAAUUUUAGUUUCCAACAUUCCUUAGUUUAUUAAAAAGAAAUAUUUAAUUUCAAAGCCUAAUUCUGUUGAAUUCUACCAUAUAUUGACAGAUUUCCUAUACUAGUCUGAAUGUUAAUAAACUAGAUUUACUUAUUUUGUCUCCUAUUCAGCUACAAGGAAAUACCCAGAAUUUCUUAUUUACAAAGAAGCAGGUUCAUUCUAACUGGGGAUAUUUCACAGAUUCAAUGGGUUCAUCAGCUAACAUAUUCCUAAGUAAGCCAAAUAAGGUAUUCUUAACUCCAUAUUGUAAUUGAAACCUUUGGAAUCCAGUUACGAUUAAAAAGAAAAAACAAAACAAAACAAAACAAACAAACAAAAAAACCUCUUGUGUGGCAGAGGUAGAAUGACAAAAACUAUGUCAGACAGCAUAAGAAAUAGCCAAAGCAAAGAAAGCAUGUGUCAGUGAGGACAAACUAGGCCAUUUUGUGAUAAUAUAAGCUCCCAAAUCUUCUUGACUAACAGCAACAAAGGCUGGUUUCUGGCACAUGUGAUGAGUCUAUAACAGAUUGGCAGUGACUGUACUCACUAUGAGACCCAAGCAUUCAGCACAGCUUUUAAACAUUAACAGUCAUGAUGGCAUAAAGAAACAGAACACAGAAACACACGUGGGCUCUUAAAGUUUCUAACAAGAUUGACAGCCUCUUUCAUUCAUAACGUAUUGGUUCAAGCAAGGAAAACAGUCAAGCCUAAUGUCAAUAUGGUAGUGAAUACAUGUAAAUGAUACUAUCUACUACAUUGAACAUACUAGCAAUAGUAUCAUAUAGAUAUAUCGCUCUUCAUUAUAUAUCUUGUAUGUUCUAUACACAUUACUUAAUUUCAUCCUUAUAUUAAUCCUAUGAAGACAAAGUGUAUGUCAUUAUCUCCAUUUAAUAUUCUUAAAAGCUGAGUUAAAAGAAAUGUGGAGUCUGGCAAGAUGACAGAGUAGAAAGCACUUGGAAUCCAUCUCCUCUCUAAAACAACAAUUGUACUGGAAGAAUCCGGUGUGACUAUUUUGAUAAACUUUUUAGUCAAUUGAAAGCUUGCCACUUUGAGAGGAAGGCUUAGUUGGUAAAUUGCAAUACUUUCAGUCAAUUUCAGCUUUCAGUUCAGCAGCAGCUACCCAUUCCUUACCCCAGUCCAAAGGCAAGCACAUAUUCCUGAUGCAGCUUGCAUGAAGCUUGCAGAAACCAGGGUGGGUAAUAAACACCCUCUCCUCCAAUAUCUGGAUCUGUAUUCUGAUAAAUGAUUGCUAUUUAUAAUCAUGGAAGUACAGAAACAGAAGAGAGCAGACACUGUUGCAUCCCCACAUAAUUGCAAGCCACUACCCAUCCGAUGGAAGUGGUUUCAGGGCAUUUAAUUGCAAGUACCUUUCCCCUCUUUAUUUUUCUCUUUUUUGCCUUUUGUGAAGCUCUACAUUAAAUAUCACAAUGUUCAAAAGCAACAACAUGCAUUGGAGAAAUUAGAAACUCGCUAUGUGUGACCAGGGAAUGGGGCAGGCUCAAAAAAAAAAAAAAAAAA